AUGAAGCACAGAGAGGGUGAGUUAUUUGCCCAAAGCCACACACUAAUUAAGGUACGGAUCCAACAUUUGAACCCAGGCGAUCUGGUCUCAGAGCCUGAGGGCUUAACCAUUAUACUCUGCUGUUUCUGAACAUGAAUUAGGUGGUUUGCAAAGAGUCAGCGUCUCCACUGUGAAGGCCACGUCUUCCAUCACAGUGACCCCGUAACCCUGAGGUGGGAGUUCCUGCCGCCCAGACCCCAGGGCAGUGGAGUUAUCUAGCUGACAUUCCUUCUCCUUCACUGCCAGCUGUUACGAGGGGAUGUUAUCAAGACUUUCUUCUGAAGUCCUACCGCAGAGAUGCUUCUGGUCUGCUGCAUCCCAGCGCAAACCAGAUUACAAAGACCUUGUUUUAUGUCCCAAGGGGAUUAACCUUCUAAAUCCUACUGGCAAGCUCCUGGAGAGCUCUGCAAAUUGUAGAGCAAGCAACACCCUCUGAAGUGUGACCUCUCUCCAGACUGAAGCUGUUGAGAAGACCUUCUCUACAGCCUCUGAGGACGGAGGUGCCCUGGUGUCGGGGGGCGAGUGGCCGCACCAAGCACUGACAUCUGUGUUGCUCGUGGCUCUUUAUCCUGCAGCUGAGAUUGUUUUCAUGUGCGCCUGGCUAACAUUAACUGUGUGUGUGUGUGUGUGUGUGUGUGUGUGUGUGUGUGUGUGUGUGUGGUCUUAAUCAUCAUUGCUCUUCUAUUGUCAUUGUGCUCCAAAAGGGAAGCGAUAGGCAAAAUCAAAUCAGGGUGAUAGUUGUGUCUCAGUCAUGAGGCACAAAGCCCUGCCCUCCCCUUUGCUGAACCAGGAGAGAAUUCUCAUCCUGGAGACACACCGGGUGCUAAGCAUUCUGUAAAUAUGAAUUGUUCUGUACUGAGGCGCUGAUGUCGAUGCUGAAGCUCUCACUAUAGUGUGUCAACAUGAAUUAAAGGUAAUAAUGUGCAUGGGCUUUGUGAUAGCCUAGAAGCUUUUGCCCUUGCAUCUGAGUUUAUGGUGGAAGUGGUAGAAGCCUUACUCUCUGUAUAGACGAUGCAAGUUUAUAUGAGCCAGCUCACUGUCUCGACCUUACAAACGAAGUCCAUUGCAACUGCAUGCAAUCCAGGUCAAAAUAUUGACAAGUAUGGGAAGACACUCAGUGAUCAUCAAUAUUUUUAUUAGAACCAAAGAUCCAUCCUAUAGGUAACAUUUUAACAUUUAUUUCAUAUUGGGUAAGUGCUUCAUUGGAUUAACUCAUUUAAUCCUCAAAAGAGGAAUGUGAAGCAUGGAAAUAAAGAAUGUGGAAAGCCUUUUUUAAAAAACACCUUUAUUGUAGUAUGAGUCCUGUACAGUAAACUACACAUAUUUCAGAUGUAGGAUUUGAAGAAUUUUGAUGCAUGGAACCACCACCACAGUCAAGAUAGCUAACAUUUCCGUCACUCCCCAAGAGGUGCAAAUUGUGGAAAGCCUUUUAGACAAACUACGUCUUCACUCCAUCCUGGGGAAGCCAGCCUUGGGGAAACCUCUUACUUCACGUGACAUUUGGUACGACGAAGAUAUUUAUUCUAAAAUGCGAAAGAGUGGCUGGCUGGUGAUGAUUUUGCAAGACUGAUGAGGGAAUUCAGCAUGAGACUGUAAGGGUGACUUUCACGGGAUUUUACAGGAUUUCCUGAAACAUUUGUCAGAAUGAAAGUUCACGAGGGCGGAAACUUCUUUCUGCUUUCCUUAUUGGUAAGCGCUCAGUACUAGACCAGUGCCUGACGUGCAAUGACACUCAGUGUCUGCUGAACACAUCUGGCUGCGUUAAUGGCUGAGGUAAGCCUAUUCCUUU